GUCAGAGUUUGAUCCUGGCUCAGAUUGAACGCUGGCGGAAUGCUUUACACAUGCAAGUCGAACGGUAGAGGGGGCAACCCCUUGAGAGUGGCGAACGGGUGAGUAAUAUAUCGGAACGUGCCCAGUCGUGGGGGAUAACGUAGUGAAAACUUACGCUAAUACCGCAUACGAUCUAAGGAUGAAAGCGGGGGAUCGCAAGACCUCGCGCGAUUGGAGCGGCCGAUAUCAGAUUAGGUAGUUGGUGGGGUAAACGGCUCACCAAGCCAACGAUCUGUAGCUGGUCUGAGACGGACGACCAGCCACACUGGAACUGAGACACGGUCCAGACUCCGUA
rnacentral:rRNA from 1 species